UGCAGUUAAAAAGCUCGUAGUUGGAUUUCUGUGGGGACGGAGCGGCCGGCCGCACAUCGCGGUUCGAGCUAGCGCUUUCCCUACAUCCUGCCGCGAACCGUGCUACCAUUAGUUUGGUGGCGCUGGGGAUCGGCUCGAUUACUUUGAGAAAAAUAGAGUGUUCAAAGCAGGCCACACGCCUUGAAUAAGUUAGCAUGGAAUAAUAACUAAGGACUUCGGUUCUAUUUUGUUGGUGUUCGGGACUGAAGUAAUGAUUGAUAGGGACAGUUGGGGCGGUCAGUAUUCCAAAGCGAGAGGUGAAAUUCUUAGACCUUCGGAAGACUAACAGCUGCGAAAGCGUUCCGCAAGGAUGUUCCCUUUGAUCAAGAACGAAAGUUGGGGGAUCGAAGACGAUCAGAUACCGUCGUAGUCUCAACUAUAAACUAUACCAGCUAGGGAUCGGCCAACGUUAUUUUAUACCGACUUGGUCGGCACCUUAUGAGAAAUCAAAGCAUCUGGGUUCCGGGGGGAGUAUGGUCGCAAGGCUGAAACUUAAAGGAAUUGACGGAAGGGCACCACCAGCCGUGGAGCCUGUGGCUUAAUUUGACUCAACACGGGAAAACUUACCAGGUCCAGACAUAGUAAGGAUUGACAGAUUGAUAGCUCUUUCU
rnacentral:rRNA from 1 species